GAUGAACGCUGGCGGCGUGCUUAACACAUGCAAGUCGAACGGAAAGGCCCAAGCUUGCUUGGGUACUCGAGUGGCGAACGGGUGAGUAACACGUGGGUGAUCUGCCCUGCACUUCGGGAUAAGCCUGGGAAACUGGGUCUAAUACCGGAUAGGACCACAUUUUGGAUGGUGUGGUGGAAAGUUUUUCGGUGUGGGAUGAGCUCGCGGCCUAUCAGCUUGUUGGUGGGGUAAUGGCCUACCAAGGCGUCGACGGGUAGCCGGCCUGAGAGGGUGUACGGCCACAUUGGGACUGAGAUGCGGCCCAGACUCCUACGGGAGGCAGCAGUGGGGAAUAUUGCACAAUGGGCGCAAGCCUGAUGCAGCGACGCCGCGUGGGGGAUGACGGCCUUCGGGUUGUAAACUCCUUUCGCUAGGGACGAAGCGUUUUUGUGACGGUACCUGGAGAAGAAGCACCGGCUAACUACGUG
rnacentral:rRNA from 1 species